CGGCCCGGCCGGGGCCCAUCACGAGCUGCCGGGUAGGUAAAAGUAAAAAAGUUGUUAAGAGGCGCGGUGUCGGCGUGCUUGUAUUUGCGGGAGAGAAUUAUCUGGAGGUGCUGGGUAGCCGGGAAGACUUGGACGGAUCUGGCCCGGGAAUGGGUCUGGGCCUGGAUUCUGGUGUGGUGUAGGGUAGGCGUAGAUAGAUGAGUGGUCUAGGGUAGAUACAGGGUAGCCAGAAGUCUGGUAUAUAGUAUGGGGGUGUAGGGUAGGUCUGGACACCGUUUUCCACUUCGCCCUUCCCUUUAGUCGAGGGAGGACGAUCUUGGCUGGGACGGAGGUGUAGGGUAGGCUUAAUUUACGAUUACAUGAUCUGUGUCACUCUAGGGUAGGUGAAAAUCCCAUAUAUAUAUGAUCACAUUUGGUGAAGAGGUGGUUUGGCUGGUGAGAUGGACAAAAGUGCAAUAUAGAAUUAUAUGUGAUUUUGCAAAAGUGGGUGUGAAAUUGGGAAAUCGGUUUUCCCGCACAGAUGAGAGCACGUUUGAGGUGCCAUGAGAUGCACCUCUCCGAGACGACCUCAACGGUACCGCCGAUGUGUUGGUCGGGCUCCUGUGCGGCCGUCCAGGGCGGGAUAAGUAAAAGAUGUGGUGGUGUAGGGUAGGUAGAUAGGUCCAGGGUAGGUUCACUAGAUCCGUCAAUUCGGCUUUAAUCGAAGGACAGGUCUAGGGUAGGCCAGAGUCGGGUCUAGGGUAGGCAGCUCUCACCCUCGAAGUGGUCUACCCGGUAGCCAACUUCAAUCGCCUCUCACGGCCGCCACGGACCUCGCAUGACGACGGGACUACCACCAUCGGAUUUGCCUUGGUCGAAAUAGUUGGUAUAUGCACUUUUGAAAAAAUGCGUGCAAAAUGGUUUUGUGGUUUGGUGGCCGUGAGUCGAUUUUUUUGUUUUCCCAUACAAAUGAAUUUUGCGGAAAAUAAAAAGUGGCCCACGAGGCAGCUCUGGCGUGCGGCCCACUAAAACGGUCUCGGAGGGUAUAUGAGAAGGGAGCAAAUCCGGCCGAGCCUGAAAGGGUGAGGACAAACCGGGCGAGCAACCUCUCAGUAUCAGAUCUUGCAGACUUCCACUGCGUGUCCCUCUGUACAGCUUUGCAGGCUCCGGCCUCGGCAGCGGGGGGUUCAUAGUGGUCGUCGACCUCCACGAAACUGCACGCUCCGGCGUGACAGCGUACUGGGGAUGCCUGUGUAGAUGCAGUCCGGGCUUGCCUGGACCGCUAGCAGAUGGGCUCUGUGGAUGACUGGCCGCUGGCUAGACCUGAAACCUGAGCAACGGGAGGUAACCUCUCGCCGCGGACACCGGAAUGGUAGAAGCGGCGUGCUGCGUCCUCCUCUUGGGGCCCCUAAGCCACACCUCCCACAGCGGGUUCGGUGCGGCGGACGGACGCCCUGGGGAAUUUAGAGGGGGAAAGCGGAUUGCCCUAGCGGUGUUGUUGGCCCUGCCGACCUCACUGCGAAAGGCGCGACUUCACCGUCGCCACCCAGUAACUUGUC
rnacentral:misc_RNA from 1 species